CGCAGGAGGCUCUAAGCACCUCUAAGCACCCCACGCACCCUCGACGCGCAGUGGGCCAACUAAAACCUCCGUGCACCCCCGACAAGCACAGGACCAUUUAAACCCUCCGUGAACCCCUGACGAGCACCGGGCCGUCUAAACCCUCCGUGCACCCCCGACGGAGCACCGAGCCAUCUAAAGUCCUCCUGAAAAGACGCGGACUCAGGCACCCGGAACGUCCACACCAGCCCGCGAAGGUGCACGGCCCGCAGAGCACGAGGGGAAGCCGCACCGGGCCCGCCCGACACGCACAGACGCAGCCGAGGGUGCAGUGGGUACCUGGGUGAUGGAGUCCCCGAAAAGCAACACGCGAGGCCAGAGCAGAGAGCUCCCGCCAGCAACCCGCUCGCACAGCGCCAUGGUGCCGGGCUCCGAACAGCCUACCCGCGCCGGAUGUGGAGCCUCCGGGGGCGGAGCCAGCCGUGGGCGGGGCCUGGCGGCUCGGGUCUUCUGUCCCUCCCGCCGGCAUUUCUGGACCCCGUGAGUCGGUAGAUCGGGGCUGUCUCGGCCCACUCACCCUCUACUCCAUCGCUCUGUGGCCGGCGAUAGCUGGGGUGUCCUGAGUUCAUAGAGAAGCUCCGUGUGCCCAGCGCAGGAUGGCGGAGCUGGGACCUGCUUCUGCAGGCGCGUUCCUCCAUCUCUGGCCACGCCCAAGUGGGGCUCGCCUCUCCUUGGUUAUGGGCCUCGAUGGAUGCAGUGAGGAGACAACUUUAAAGCUUGGCUGUCCAGGGACCCUCACUUCAGACUGCCUGACUCCAAGACAUCGUGCUCCAGCAUUAAAACGGAAUGUUUAGCUCUAAUAAACUUUUGUAUGCUAUGGGGACCCUAGACUUUUGGUAUAGGCCAAAGACAUGGGAAUUGGGCUGUUUUACAGAAAUCUCAUGAAGUCAGACUUAUACUUGUUACUGGAGCGCAGGAGUAUUUACACACCUACGAGGGGAGGUGCACGGGCCAGGUUACAGCUGCCCGAUUCUGUGGCUUGACUGUGCGUUGAGGAUGAGGCUUUAGCCAACUCCAGGAGAAAGCACAGGUAAGCCAGAAUGGACACUGCUUUUCCUAUCGGAUUCUGCGCAGCUGCUAGAUCUUAGGAUUUCAGCACAUGCUGCAAACACCUGCAGGCAGAACCAAUACUCAAGAGGCGGCUCCCUGGGGAUAGCUCAAGGCCAACGGGUCCAGUGGUCCAGCAGGAUUCAGACCGUCUGAUGCAGAAGGAAACAGGCCACCUCAGAGAAACUAAGGUAUUUUACUUGAGGUAACAGAGGUAAAGCCAAGAGUGUACAAAAGUUCAAGGGCCGGGGAUCAAGGUUGCCAGUGCAUGGGCGUCAGGGCCUCGUACAACCCCUGGCCGUGGUCAGUGCACGGGCGUCAGGGCCUCGUACAGCCGCUGCGCGGCCAGCUCCACCAUUUCUCGGAGGGACUCGUCAUCCUCACUUCCUUCUUCACAUUCUACGACCUGGAAGUGAAAGCACAAACCUCAGCCUGGAGUCACCCCGUGAACAAAGUGAACACUCUAAGCCCAGAAGCUGCUGCCAGGAUGCACCUGUGACAGGCAGUGUCCCUGACAACACAGUGACUGACAGCCAGAGGGGCGGAGCAGGAACAGACUCCCAUGCCAGAGCCCCCCCAUCUAUCCAGCACAAGCCUCGGAUCAUGCUGGCACCAGUGCAACCAUGCUGCUAACCAGGACGUGAGGCCUAGGCAUUUGUCUAUAAUGAAAAACUAAGUUAUUCCUUCAACAAGCAAAUGAGAGACCAGCACUUCAGGCACUGUGUUAGGUGCUGAAAUUAUAAACUAAUUACCACUGGUAAGGGGGCUCCUAAGAUCGCUUGGGAAAGCAUCUUGUAAUCAGCUUAAAGAGCACCUACAGGAAGGCGCUGGCAUUAGAAAUAUACUGAGUCUAGAGACAUUUCAUAGUUACAGACUUACUGGAAAGAGCCUGGAACACCCACUUUAUCAAAUAAUUCACACCCAAGCAAACGUUUAAA